GGCGCAGUGCAUGCUGGGUAUUGUUAUUGAUUAAUCCAGAGCCCGUGUACCGAGAGCCUGGCCGCUCCCCAUAAGGUCCCAUUGUACCGAACACUGGUUGCAGUUCCAGCAGAGGUCCACUGGGGGCGCUCUCCCAUCAGUGCAGAAUGAAUGGGAGCAGAUGGAGCUGAUUGUGGUUGAGAGAUCUCAGAUGUGAUUGUAGUUUUUAAAGUUCAACAUGGGUUAUAGGUCGAAAGCUGAAUGAACGAGUUCUGAUGUCCUUUAGAUUUCUUACAGGACGAGUUGUUGUUGCCCAUAACGCGCUAGCAUUCUGCUAAUGAACGCUGAUUGGUCAGUGAAGGACUGAUUACGACCAGAGAUCCCGCUCGAUGGCAUCGUGGCAUCCGAAGCCCGACCACAAUGUUAAGGCCGAUUUUUUUGCCCAAGUUCUUUUUUUGAACACAGAAACUUUUUUGUGUUGCUGGUACUUUUAUCUGCCGAUCGUUACGUCUGUGUCGUCGAAGCACAAAGAGACUCGAGGCUCGCCGUAAAGCGGUAUCUCUGGCCGUACGAUGUGUGUGACGUCACUGACAUUUUAAAGACUUU